GUAGGGAAUAUUAGUAAUGGGCGAAAGCCUGAACUAGCAACGCCGCGUGUGCGAAGAAGGCCUUCGGGUUGUAAAGCACUUUUUGAGAGGAUGAGGAAGGACGGUACUCUCAGAAUAAGUCUCGGCUAACUACGUGCCAGCAGCCGCGGUAACACGUAGGAGGCGAACGUUAUCCGGAUUUACUGGGCGUAAAGCGCGUGUAGGUGGUUUGGUAAGUAGGGCGUGAAAGCUCCUGGCUCAACUGGGAGAGGCCGUUCUAAACUGCCGAACUAGAGGAUGGUAGAGGGAGGUGGAAUUCCGGGUGUAGCGGUGGAAUGCGCAGAUAUCCGGAGGAACACCAGUGGCGAAAGCGGCCUCCUGGACCACUCCUGACACUCAGACGCGAAAGCUAGGGUAGCAAACGGGAUUAGAUACCCUGGUAGUCC
rnacentral:rRNA from 1 species